AGCCAUGCCGCGUGUGUGAGGAAGGCCUUCGGGUUGUAAAGCACUUUCAGUCGUGAGGAAGGUAGUGUGUUUAAUAGAUGCAUUAUUUGACGUUAGCGACAGAAGAAGCACCGGCUAACUCCGUGCCAGCAGCCGCGGUAAUACGGAGGGUGCGAGCGUUAAUCGGAAUUACUGGGCGUAAAGCGCAUGCAGGUGGUGUGUUAAGUCAGAUGUGAAAGCCCGGGCUCAACCUCGGAAUAGCAUUUGAAACUGGCAGACUAGAGUACUGUAGAGGGGGGUAGAAUUUCAGGUGUAGCGGUGAAAUGCGUAGAGAUCUGAAGGAAUACCGGUGGCGAAGGCGGCCCCCUGGACAGAUACUGACACUCAGAUGCGAAAGCGUGGGGAGCAAACAGGAUUAGAUACCCUGGUAGUCCACGCCGUAAACGAUGUCUACUUGGAGGUUGUGGCCUUGAGCCGUGGCUUUCGGAGCUAACGCGUUAAGUGACCGCCUGGGGAGUACGGUCGCAAGAUUAAAACUCAAAUGAAUUGACGGGGGCCCGCACAAGCGGUGGAGCAUGUGGUUUAAUUCGAUGCAACGCGAAGAACCUUACCUACUCUUGACAUCCAGAGAACUUAGCAGAGAUGCUUUGGUGCCUUCGGGAACUCUGAGACAGGUGCUGCAUGGCUGUCGUCAGCUCGUGUUGUGAAAUGUUGGGUUAAGUCCCGCAACGAGCGCAACCC
rnacentral:rRNA from 1 species